rnacentral:rRNA from 1 species
UACGGGGGGGCAAGCGUUGUUCGGAAUUACUGGGCGUAAAGGGCUCGUAGGCGGCCAACUAAGUCAGACGUGAAAUCCCUCGGCUUAACCGGGGAACUGCAUCUGAUACUGGAUGGCUUGAGUUUGGGAGAGGGAUGCGGAAUUCCAGGUGUAGCGGUGAAAUGCGUAGAUAUCUGGAGGAACACCGGUGGCGAAGGCGGCAUCCUGGACCAACACUGACGCUGAGGAGCGAAAGCCAGGGGAGCAAAGCGGGG